GCGACGUGAGUGGCAGCACUUCUAGAGCCUACCGAGUUCUGUUGGCUAAGGUUUAGGUGGUUGUCCAGCCCAUGUGUAAAUAGUUUUAGGAUGUUGAUUAAGGAAUACCGAGUUACACUACCCCUAACGGUAGAGGAGUAUCAAGUAGCACAGUUGUACUCUGUAGCGGAAGCAAGUAAAAAUGAGACAGGAGGUGGAGAAGGAAUUGAAGUGCUCAAGAAUGAACCAUUUGAUGACUGUCCACUUUUGGGUGGGAAGUAUCACAAGGGACAAUACACCUACAAGAUUUACCACCUUGCAAGGUGAGGAAUUAAAAUACCAUU